rnacentral:tRNA from 1 species
GCCCCCGUAGCCCAACCGGCAGAGGCAGGCGGCUUAAACCCGCCCAAGUGUGGGUUCGAGUCCCACCGGGGGCA